AUCCAUUGAGUUUGAAAACUUGGUUUUCCAUCCACCAGCCAAUUUUACCGGUGUAUGUUGUUAGCUUUGAUGGUAGAUGUUAGCCUGUGUAUGUUUUGACGAGAUAAACUCUAAAAAAAAAACAAAGAAUCAUUGCAAUUGAAUUAACCUUGUUUAAGGCAGCAAGAUUUGUUUGAGUGUGAAAAUGUAGGAAAUAGACAUGGAGUGCAUGUUUCACAAAUUGGAAUGCUCAUGAAAUAGUUAAUUGUUUCAAAAGGUUUCAAAUCAUUACAUUAAUAUACGAUUUUGUUAUUCUAACAAAAGUUAAAGAUUAAAUAUGGAAUACCUAUUCCAAAAAAUUUCAGAACAAGAACAAUCGUUAAAAUAAGUCAUUUUUUAUUGUAUCAUGUAAGGGGACGUCAUUGGCAUCGACACAAACAAGUUUUAUAUAUUUGAUGCAUUUUGACUAUGCACUACAUUGAAAGUUGAUAUAUGAAUUGUGGAUGUGAUAUUUUGUGUGCUCAAAAAUAAUUUGAUGCUUAAAUGUAUGUUUUAUGUGUUUGAUGGUUACAUAAACAUGAUAUAGGUAAAUGUUUUAUAUGAUUUUACAUGUUUGAUGCUUGAUAAAAAUCAAAUUGAUUCAAACUUAUGUGUGUAGCUUAUUUGAAUAAUUUUUCAUAUUAAUUAGUAAAAUCCCUCAAAAAAUUGAAAUAUCAAAAAAAAUUUCAUACGAAUUACAUAUUUUUGAAGUUUCAUCAAUUACUGGAGUAGAUCUGAUGCUGCACUUCCUGGGAUUCUGACAUCUAUGGUGAUGCCUCCACGACCUCUGGGAUUUCAUUAUUCAGUGUGUCAAAUUUGAUGGUGGAAGCCUGGGCUUAGCUUGGAUACAUCAGCAUAUCUAGAGGAAUAUGGAAAGCCAAUCAAAGACUCACAAGCUUCGAAUAGUAAAGUGUCCUAAAUGUUGGCUGCUGCUUCCGGAGCCUGCAGAUGUUGCUGUAUACCAGUGUGGUGGAUGUGACACUGUGCUACGAGUAAAACCUCGGAAAGACGGUGCCAAAAGCACAGCCUCAGGUUCAUAUGGGAUAGAUGCAGCUAAGACAAAUGAGUUCCAUCAUGUUAGUUCUGAAUCUAUCGGCUCUAGUCCGAAUGAAAUUCUUUUGUCCUCAGGAGAAAUUUCUUUGGACCAAAACAAUGGGAGGGAUGAAUGCAUAUCCACUGAUUGCAGUAUCCAUCAUGCUAGUUCCACUAUUAGAUAUUUUAAAGUGCAAGUCUUGUCAAUCAUCCUUCUUGCAACCCUUUGGCUUUAUUUUGGUUUGUUUCUACAUAUGCUGAAUUAGUUUAGAUUUUUAACAUUAAUCUACAAACAGCAGUGUUGUGAAAAUGCAGAAAUUGCCAGUGGAAAUGUGCUCACUACCAUGGCAAGCUGGGAGGAAAAGAUAUCAGGAUCCAUCAAGGAUCACAAAAUUAUAUGUUUAUUAGUGUUGUAUAUUGUUUUACUGCAUAGGAGAAAUUACCUUUUGGACAACUGCGACUCAUAAGGAUCCAAAAUGUGGCAAUUUAUUGUUAAUGCAAACUUCUGGUCAUCUUUAUGUAAAAGUGUCUCUGAAAAGCUUGCACAUGUAUCUGUCUACUUCAUUUGUACACAAAUUGCAGAACCAACAGAGUACCUCAGAUAUUGAGAAUAUUUCUAUUGGAGUUUUACGUAUCUGGUUCUAUUUUGUAAAUAAUAUUUGGGUUGAUGAGAAUCUGUGCUCUACCUAAUUAUAUCAAAUAAAUUACUUUUGAUUUUAUUUUCUUCAUAUUUGUUAUGGCCACACAGCCUACUCAAAUUUAAGCAAACAAGGGGGAGCUCCAGAAGACGACAGCAGUCAUGUCUAGUCUUCUAAAUGGAUCACCUACUUGGUUGCAUUGCAGGAGGAGAGAAGAAUCAAUUCUGGAAUAUGCAGAUUGAGUGUACAUAAUUUCAUAUCAAAAGCAGCAGAAAGGGAGAAAAGAGAGAAACUUGCAACUUCAAGGUGGCCAGACAUAUAUAAGUCAUAGGGAUACCAAACUCUUCUCCUGGCAAUUGCUGUUUUGUUUAGCGCAGAAAGUUCUUCCAAUGCAAUCCUUUAAAACCUUAAGAAUAGAAACAACCUUUGUGUGAAGAAACCUAUGGAGAUGCUAAGAAUAUCCAUGUUGAAACACUAGAGAAAUCCCAGACAGAGAAGGAAGAUUAUCCUAAUAUUAAGUUGAUUAAAUUUUA